CAGUAGCCACGGUAAAACGAAGGGUGCAAGCGUUACUCGGAAUUACUGGGCGUAAAGCGUGCGUAGGCGGUGAGUUAAGUCUGCUGUGAAAUCCCCGGGCUCAACCUGGGAAUGGCAGUGGAUACUGGCUCGCUAGAGUGUGUCAGAGGAUGGUGGAAUUUCCGGUGUAGCAGUGAAAUGCGUAGAGAUCGGGAGGAACAUCAGUGGCGAAGGCGGCCAUCUGGGACAACACUGACGCUGAGGCACGAAAGCGUGGGGAGCAAGCAAGAUUAGAUACCCCUGUAGUCCCUGUCUCUUAUAA
rnacentral:rRNA from 1 species